CUGAAAGGCGACAACGGUUCCAAAAUCCACAUUGUUGUAUUAUUUCGAAAUGUAGUUUCAGUCAUGCAGGCAAGGAAUUCUGUAGCUGCGCAACAUUUCGCAUAUCAUACAGAUAUGGAAAGGUUCAGAUCUGUAUCUACAUUCAUCUGGCAACCACAGGGCAGUUGUGCUAACGAUAUCCUUAACACUGAAAGAUGAAAAUGAAAACAUUGAAUUUUCAUGCUAUGUAGUGAAGUACAGAUGCUUAGUUGCUUUUCUUGUGAUUUGGUGGUGAGCAGUUACUUCUUAGGCAUGAGUUUCGAUGCUCGGUCCCCGCGCCGGUUACGGGAGGUGUGAUGUUGGCAGGAAAUUACCAUUUUCAUGCCAGGCGUUAUUGAGGAACGGAUCAACCAUCCUCGAAUAAUGUGAUGGGCGCUACUGUUUGUUGCCUGCAUUGGCACAGUUUGGUUAUUCGAUUCUUCUGUGGAUGGAUUGGUACUGCCUGGCGGUGAUUACUGUUAUCUAGGCCUAGUACUCGUGAGUUGACUUGACGUGGGGUUGCCCAUCGUUUACUGCUGGCGCGACUCCAAGUAAUGCUGCAACAUAAAUCGGUCGAGGACUUGGUUGUGGCGGUUGGGCUGUACAUCGAUCGGUGAUAAUCGGAAUUGAAUAGCGCCUUUAGGCCGUAGCCAAAAGGAUACUGAUUUCUCUAUUGCAGUACAAUUGGCGAUUGUUUAGUCGUGCGCUACAACUUUUUUUUUCUGGGCGUUUAUGCAGGUAUAGCAGUCAUGGCGAAUCGUGUGUAGUAUUGAAGAGAGAUUGACCGUUGUUUACUACCGUGUAUCAAUUAUUCGGUUCUUUUGGCGUGAUGUCUGCGUGCAACUACUUUUCCUUGACGGUUGCGUGGUAUCCUGGAAUUUGUGAGGCACGAGCUUAAUGGUGAUCAACUCAAGUGCAACGUCGUGUUCUACAGCUUGCAGAAUACAUUUUGCAGAACCAUUUUACUCAAAAUGGUGCUUUUGUAAGUAUUUAAUCCGUAUUUUGGGACGUACUGGCACUCUUCGUUUCCUCGUCGACGUUCAUAAUCGAUUGUGGCAGAAAAGAGGGCGAGAAAAUGUUGCCUAUCUGAAUGAACUUUGAAUUCGUUCAAAUUUCGUGUUAAACUUUGGCGUACAAUUCGUAAUGGAGUGGGUAGGGUUUUACAUUGCAAGUUCUACAUUUUUUUUUCAAUCCAUUUUUGUGCUUGCAGGCAGGAAUUAUAUGUGCAGAAACUUCUGCAAUGGGAAUAUUUUGGAAAUGUUAUUUAUUACAAGCUAUGAAAUAAAUUGGAAAAUUGUGUAAUGUGA